UGGGGAAUAUUGGACAAUGGGCGGAAGCCUGAUCCAGCAACGCCGCGUGAGGGAUGACGGCCUUCGGGUUGUAAACCUCUUUCAGCACCGACGAAGCUCCACUUUUUGGUGGUUUGACGGUAGGUGCAGAAGAAGGACCGGCCAACUACGUGCCAGCAGCCGCGGUAAUACGUAGGGUCCGAGCGUUGUCCGGAAUUAUUGGGCGUAAAGGGCUCGUAGGCGGUUUGUCGCGUCGGGAGUGAAAACAUCUGGCUUAACUGGGUGCUUGCUUUCGAUACGGGCAGACUGGAGGUAUGCAGGGGAGAACGGAAUUCCUGGUGUAGCGGUGAAAUGCGCAGAUAUCAGGAGGAACACCGGUGGCGAAGGCGGUUCUCUGGGCAUUACCUGACGCUGAGGAGCGAAAGUGUGGGGAGCGAACAG
rnacentral:rRNA from 1 species